AUGGCAACCAACAAGGUUGAGGCAACCGAGUUUGAGAUUGUAACGGAGAAGCCUUACAAGAUAUGCUCUUCUGCUGAUCUCCUCCGCUAUGGGAAGCAGUUCAAUGAUUUUGUUGUUGUUUGUCCGGAUGCAUUUGCUGGCCUUAGGCGCCUGUGGCUGCGCAAUAUGAGCUUUGGUGAACUGGACAUUCCCAACAUCCUCAGCACUUGCAAUCUCUUGGAGUAUUUGGGUUUAAGCCAUUGCGACUCGGGGAUCCAUUCUGUGCUGCAAGUAGAGCAUGCCCAACUUGUUGAGCUCCAAGUUGACAAUGGGAAAUUUGAGAGAGUUGAGCUGAUAUGUCUACCGAAACUCCAACGGGUGACCUAUACUAAUUGGUCCUCUUAUGAAGAUCCCAUGUAUUUUGGUUUUGUGCCACAACUUUCAAAGCUGAGCCUUAUUAAAAUUGGCGUCGGUUCACAGAAGACCCUUGAGUUAAGUCAGCUACUUGCUAAUGUUCCUUCCAUAAGUGAACUAUAUCUGGAUUUUAGAAGUGAGAAGCAAUAG
rnacentral:rRNA from 1 species